GGCUUUCUAUACAGGAACAGCAGUGUCCGGGCACACAAGCAAGGCGCGUCGAGGGGUGGCUUCUUGAGUGAGCACAGACCUGCUGCUCCCCCAGACCACUACCACGCUCCUGUCCAUGAGCUGCCUCUGCUCUUGUCCCGUUUAUGUGCUAGGGGAGGAGGGAGGUGCCCUUGUUCUCGUGUCCCACAUCCAUGAAGUUUCUGAAGGCUAGAUCUAAGUUGCCCUCCCUACUUGAGCUGCAGAGACACAACUAGAAAGGCAAAAUAGUUAUUUAUGGAAUUUUUAAUUUUUGAAAUCUUAUCAUUGGAACCUAUAGGUUAAUUGGUCUUUUAAAUAUUUCUGUCUCGUCAUUCAAUUUGAAUUUUGAUACUAAAGUCUUAGAGGCUGGGAGCAGCCCAUAGGACCCAAGAAAUUUUCUCAAAGAGUGUCUUGGAGCCCAGGUCCUAUCUUAAAGCAGAAUUCCAGCACUUACUGUUGUCAAAUUUAGGAGCUUGGCUCUUUUUAAUGGAGGCUGUCAAAGCUCUGCACAAACAUAACCUCAUUACACUGGACUCCUGUUGUCCAAAGUGAACAAAAGUUUAACUGCAGACUGAAAUGAACUCAACAAAGUCCUUAGAUUCCUGCUUUGCUGUGGAUAUUUUUAUAUAUUUUUGUUUAAAAAAAAAAAGGCUGAGCCAACAAGAACUAUAAUCAUGGGAACGUCUGGAACCACCCUCUUCAUCCUUCCUUCUUCAGAAGAUUUUGUACAGGGUAAAAUCCGUCCUGCUUUCGGUGUCCUGGUUGCACGUGCCUUCUUACAGAUGUCACCUGGUGCUUGCUGUCUAAAGAACCUAGUUAGCAGUAACGCACCGGACUAAACAACUCGGCUUGUCUACCCACGUGUUGGCUCACACAAGGGGCAGCAUCUAAGUGCCUGCGAUUCCCCAGCCUGCAUCUGGUGCUUUGGGGCUUCACCGGGCUGAAGCGAGACGUCUGGACGAAGCUGGUUCCUGCCCAACUCCAUCCCGCCUUCCCUUCCGCGGCAGGGUUUAAGUUCUUCGCCUCCUUCUUACCAAAGUGUUUUUCCAUUUUUACUCCUUGGGGGAUGCUGGCAGACUGGACAGAAAGGCCUAAAUCAGUUGUGACCAAACCAAGCGAGCUCUUGUUCUGAGUGAAGAACUGUGAUGAUGGAAGAGAUGGGGAGAGGGGAGAGGAGAUCCUUUUGGUCACACAGAGCAGGAUCCGCCUGUCAACUUUUUUCUAAAUGGUGCUUUCACAAAUUUCCAGACUGAUCUCCCUUUCCGCAGCUCCUUGUUAGCACGGUAAAAUGCUGCUUUGGUGACUAUCAGAAUGAAGACGUUGGGAAACUUAGGCGUCUUCCCCCACCCUUUUUUUUUUUUAAGCAAAUACUGGAGACGUUCAUGGUCUCAGAACAUGGAAUGUACUUGAGAGAAGAGAAGAGAUUUUUUAGUUUAUCAAGAAACUUUCAUCCAACCAAAGC
rnacentral:lncRNA from 1 species